GAACUCUGGAGAAUCUCCCCAUGGAGUGCCGAAGGUGCAAGGUCUGGCGACGGACUGAAUCUCUCAGGCAAAAGGAAAGAGUC
rnacentral:ncRNA from 1 species